GCCUUGAUAGCGCAGUAGGCAGCGCGUCAGUCUCAUAAUCUGAAGGUCGUGAGUUCGAUCCUCACUCAGGGCA
rnacentral:tRNA from 1 species